UUAUGGCACUGCAGGGUGGGAACCAGAAUGGAGGAAGGGGGUGGAGUUAAAGCACUCUAGGGUACCUUGCUCUAAAGAUCUUGUUUGCAACCAGCGUGAGGGAAAAGAGAGGAGAGGAGAAGAAAAAGGAAAGGAAAAGUGCCAAUACCAGUUGUGGGAGAGCCAAAUCCAGUCUUCACCAGAGUAAGUGGCACUCUGAGCCUCAACUCCACUCAAGCUAGACGCGGAAGCCUCAUCAGGUCAUCGCUGUGACCCUAAGUUAUAAAAGGCUAUGAUCAGAGUGAAAAUUUUGCUGCAAGGAGUGAUAGAUUUUUCUACUGUAUUGGCAUCUUCUGAUAGCUCCACUGCUAAGCUGGAAAGAGGUCAGGGAUAUUGUAUGCAAAGUAAGUUCACAUAAAGUAAGCAUCUGUUAACUCUUUCCUCCCUUGCACUCUUCUCCCAAUGUUGUGAGUCAAUGCCGAAUUUUAAAACAUUUUAAGGGAUAAGAUAAAUUUCUCUAUAAAAAUCAUGCCAUUUUCUAUGUGAGUGUAUUUCAUAUGACAGAGCAAAACGGUUUCAUUGAAAUUCUUCCUAGACCAUAACCUAUUCCCAUGUGAACUAACACAUUUCCCUGCUAUUAAAUACCUGACUCAUUAUUUCACCUGAGCUCUAUGGAAACAGUAAUAUAUACUUUUGGAAGGAUGAGGCAUGUAUAUGUUAUUUCUUUUGACCCCCAGCACCCAACACAAGAACAGGCUCAUAACUGGGAUAAAUAAAUGCUUCACAAAUUGACCUUAAACGAGUCAUUGUAAAUCUUACAACUUUAUAGGUUUUGCCUAAAAUUGAAAAAAUAAUAGUCCUUUUUUCUUUUUUUUACUAAAACUCAUUAAAAAAAUAAAACCUCACAAGUAAAAUGUAGGCAAAACAAAAAGUAUAAACAUAAUGUGAACAGCAAAAGUCUUUUAGUGUGCUUUCCCCCUACCCCCCUUUUCUUUCUCCAGGGCAAGGAGUCCUUGCAAAGAAGAUACCUUCAGCUACCUAAAUCAAAAAUUGCCUGUGAAUAUAAUAUACAUAUGUAUUUCCUUGUAUUCAAUACAGUUUAGCACAUCUCCCUUUCGUUUCCUCCGGGAACAAUAAGCCUGUCACAUCUUAAGGUAUUUUAAAAUGGGUCCUGUUAGUCUACCCUAUUAAAUAGCAGCCAUAUUUCAUUUUAGUGUAUUUCAGUGAUAGCUCUACAUAUCUUGGUCAACAAUUCAUUAUGAAAAAGAGACUUAGAAUAUGUCUCCUUGUUCAUUUGACAGCACAAUAUAUCACAUUGCUGCAUUGUAUUAUGGAAAGUCAAAAAAUAUGGAGCUUGAAUCUAAUUCAUUUUUCCCUGUAUCUUUAGGCAGGGAACCAGAGGCACAGUGUAAGCACAGCAAUGAAGUUCUGCCUUUCUGACCAUUUAGCACCUCUAAAACUAUCCUCAAAUAUUCUGAGAAAAAUGUUGACUUUUGAUAAAUGAGAAUUCUUCCCCAAUUCACAGAAAGAAGCAGUU